rnacentral:rRNA from 1 species
AUUGAACGCUGGCGGCAGGCCUAACACAUGCAAGUCGAACGAGUGGCGGACGGGUGAGUAAUGUCUGGGAAACUGCCUGAUGGAGGGGGAUAACUACUGGAAACGGUAGCUAAUACCGCAUACCAUCGGAUGUGCCCAGAUGGGAUUAGCUAGUAGGUGGGGUAAAGGCUCACCUAGGCGACGAUCCCUAGCUGGUCUGAGAGGAGGACCAGCCACACGUGAAGUGAGACACGGUCCAGACUCCUACGGGAGGCAGCAGUGGGGAAUAUUGCACAAUGGGCGCAAGCCUGAUGCAGCCAUGCCGCGUGUAUGAAGAAGGCCUGCGGGUUGUAAAGUACUUUCAGCGAGGAGGCGUUACCCGCAGAAGAAGCACCGGCUAACUCCGUGCCAGCAGCCGCGGUAAUAC